rnacentral:tRNA from 1 species
GUGUGGCUCAGUGGUAGAGUACUUGCCUAGCAUGCACAAGGUCCUGGGUUCAAUCCCAGCACA